UACGUAGGGUGCAAGCGUUAAUCGGAAUUACUGGGCGUAAAGCGUGCGCAGGCGGAUUUGUAAGUCUGUCGUGAAAUCCCCGGGCUCAACCUGGGAAUUGCGAUGGAGACUGCAAGGCUGGAGUCUGGCAGAGGGGGGUAGAAUUCCACGUGUAGCAGUGAAAUGCGUAGAGAUGUGGAGGAACACCGAUGGCGAAGGCAGCCCCCUGGGUCAAGACUGACGCUCAUGCACGAAAGCGUGGGGAGCAAACAGG
rnacentral:rRNA from 1 species